GAUGAACGCUGGCGGCGUGCCUAAUACAUGCAAGUCGAGCGAACGGACGAGAAGCUUGCUUUUCUGAUGUUAGCGGCGGACGGGUGAGUAACACGUGGAUAACCUACCUAUAAGACUGGGAUAACUUCGGGAAACCGGAGCUAAUACCGGAUAAUAUUUUGAACCGCAUGGUUCAAAAGUGAAAGACGGUCUUGCUGUCACUUAUAGAUGGAUCCGCGCUGCAUUAGCUAGUUGGUAAGGUAACGGCUUACCAAGGCAACAAUGCAUAGCCGACCUGAGAGGGUGAUCGGCCACACUGGAACUGAGACACGGUCCAGACUCCUACGGGAGGCAGCAGUAGGGAAUCUUCCGCAAUGGGCGAAAGCCUGACGGAGCAACGCCGCGUGAGUGAUGAAGGUCUUCGGAUCGUAAAACUCUGUUAUUAGGGAAGAACAUAUGUGUAAGUAACUGUGCACAUCUUGACGUUACCUAAUCAGAAAGCCACGGCUAACUACGUG
rnacentral:rRNA from 1 species